ensembl:miRNA microRNA 222
AAAGCAAGACUGAUGUGGUUUUGAACCUGGCAUACAGUGUAGAGAUCUGUGUUUGUCAAAUUACAGCUACAUUGUCUGCUGGGUUUCAGAGCCGCUUCAUAACGCCGGA